CGCGUGGUUGGUUCGUGCCUUUUGAGCGUGCUGGAGGUCUUAGCGGUACUUGGUUAGUCGAAUGCCCGAUUUGAGUUCCAGGCGUUCGACCAAGUACCGCUGUUCGUGCGUAAGAUGGCCGCCGCCACGUGUUCGGUAGGCAAAAUGGCGGCCGCACAGGAACUCGCAAUCAGCACGCUUUGCAACAUUGUUGCUUUUGCUAAUAAGAGACACACGAC